CCAACGGCCCUCUUUAGGGCCACAAAUAUUCCAAAAUGAUCCAGA
rfam:Caenorhabditis tropicalis strain JT1373 unplaced genomic scaffold Scaffold629, whole genome shotgun sequence.